UAGUGGGUAUGGGGGGGAGGUGGACAUGGGGUGGUGGAGGGGAUGUUGACCUAGGAUCCUCUGGGUCCUGUGGAGGCUCUGAUCAGGAUGUCCCGGUACAUCCCAUGGACGCUCAGUCGGAUUGGGUUGUAGGAGUCUGGAGGCUGGUGGCCUCCUGAGCAGAUCGCUGCCACUGGGGGGGGUUUGCUUGGUUCAGACAAGUGCUUAGGUUCACGGUGUGCAUCAGAGUACAGUAACAUGGAGGCCAGGACCCCCGGUUUUCAUGCAGAACCCUGCAUUGUAACAAGACGAUCAAUAUGUACAUGUCACCUGUCAGUGGUUUUGGUGUUGUGGCUGAUUGGUGUUCGGUAGCAAGCCUUGGAAGUGGACGUUUCCUUCCUCCACUGUAGGAGCUGAACUUGCUCUUUGCAUAUAUAACUGCUUUUCUAGGAAACAUCUAUGAUUUUGGAGAUGCUUUUGUAACCUAGCUAGCUGCUGCGUCGUGACUCCUGCACUAUAAAUGUGACAUGUCUCCUCCAAUGACAGCAUUUCUGUAUCUACAAGGGUCACUCCAAAGCCCUGAACUCAGUGCUUGGUUAGUGAACAUUAGCUCAGUAGGAGACACUGCCAACACAUUUUGCCACAAGCUUAUUUUAGCCAAAGCUGCGCCUUACAAUCUAUCAGAAGCCCUUUUCACCACUGGUGUGUUCUUUCUCUGUUCUGUGUGUCUGUCUGUGUGUCUCUCACUAUGUGAGAGGAUAAGAGUCUCCUGGAUCUGGUUACAGCACAGUUGUGGGUAGCCGACCAACACCCACAUUUGCUGAAAAUAGACGUUGCACUUACAGAAAGCAUUUCACCUUCUGAUACCUCCCAUUGAAGCUUGCUAGCUCAGUGUAUCGGCGUAUGUGUUCGGUGGUUCUUCUGAACAGGGAAGUCUCCAGGGUUUUAGAGUUUCCCAGCAUGUGAGCUGAUGCAGAAGACUUGAAGAAGAUGCUUCAGGUUAUAAUGAACCUUUGAACCACCUUUGGCAAAAACACCUUGAAUGUGAACUUCAAACUUUUUUUUGUUUGUGUUUUUUGGCAUUUUGUAUUUUACGCCUUGUUAGUUGCUUUUACAAAGGCUCUUAGAAGCAAAGUGCAAAGCCAGUUGCUCACAAGCACAACAGGCCCAAAGGUCUGCUCUAAUCCUCAACUACACAAUAUGAAGGAGUCGCACAAACUGGAGUCAGUCAAGAAGAAGUUGAAAGACACUUGACGUGUUUCCAGUGUGACCAAACUGUUGGUGUAUGAGAAGAACGUCUGUGAUCUUAAUGUGUAGGAACCAUUCCUGUAGCUGAGGAGGACUCAACAGUGUCUCAGUUCUCCCAAAUUACAAACAUCCUCUGUAAUUUAGGUGACCUUUAACUUGCCAGGAAACUAUUCUCAGUUAGUGUAGACCAGUGAUUACCUCGAGGAAGUGAAGCAGGGACAGAAAUCCUGUGGACAGAAGCGGGAAGUUCAGAUGUCAUUUAGUUUGUAGCAGGUAUCGCCUAAAACGCCCUGCAGCCUUUUCUCUGUUAAUAUGCUUAAUUUAUGAAACGAUUCUUUUGCAUUGAUGUCAUGUAAAAAUGUCACUGCAGAGUACGCUGAUUAAUAAGGUAAAAUUAUUAAAGGAAAUAUAUUAAUUUAAAGAUGUCUAAACAUAUGUAUAUGUAUAUUUGGUUAUGUAAUGUGCCACUGAGAAUUUAUUCUAAAAUAAAAUGUUGUAUUUUGUGUCA